CUACAUGAAGCUGGAAUCGCUAGUAAUCGCGGAUCAGAAUGCCGCGGUGAAUACGUUCCCGGGUCUUGUACACACCGCCCGUCACACCAUGGGAGCUGGUAACACCCGAAGUCAGUAGUCUAACCGCAAGGAGGACGCCGCCGAAGGUGGGGUUGAUGAUUAGGGUUAAGUCGUAACAAGGUAUC
rnacentral:rRNA from 1 species